rnacentral:lncRNA from 1 species
ACUACUUUACACUCAUCAUUUGGCAAAAAUUAGAAAGUCAGAUAAUAUCAAGGGAUGAUGAAAAUGUGGGAAACUUCAGGAACUAUUAUAAACUGGUGUGUCUAACUCCAGAGCACAGGAGGAGGGAGAGAGGGAGAAAGGCAGGAGCGGGUAGAAUGUGUCUGUAGGUGCAGAUUACGAGGCCUUGACUUUUGGGGAGUGCAUUUCCAACCACUGAGCCCAUUCUCUUGUAGGCACUUUGGACUCCAAGUGAGGACAAACAGAUAAGAAGGCAUCCUGCUGUACGAGACAGGAAUUUGGAGCGCGAGACAAGAGAUGUGCACCUUUCUUUCAUCUUUAUCACAGCUGGUUGAAUAAUCUUUGCCUGCCGUAUGUCCUCUUUUUGGACAUAUCUGCUGCCGCACAGACAGAGUGUCAGGAGGUCCACGUGGCUGGGAAUUUCUAG